GUCUCAGUGUUACCAUGACGCUGUCUGGAGACUGGAGGAGUCACCAGGUCCUCUUCCUUGUCCAGUGUUACCAUGACUCUGUCUGGAGACUGGAGGAGUCACCAGGUCCUCUUCCUUGGCUCAGUGUUACCAUGACUCUGUCUGGAGACUGGAGGAGUCACCAGGUCCUCUUCCUUGUCUCAGUGUUACCAUGACUGUCUGGAGACUGGAGGGAGGAGGUCACCAGGUCCUCUUCCUUGUCUCAGUGUUACCAUGACUGUCUGGAGACUGGAGGGAGGAGUCACCAGGUCCUCUUCCUUGUCUCAGUGUUACCAUGACUGUCUGGAGACUGGAGGAGGAGUCACCAGGUCCUCUUCCUUGUCUCAGUGUUACCAUGACUCUGUCUGGAGACUGGAGGAGUCACCAGGUCCUCUUCCUUGUCUCAGUGUUACCAUGACUCUGUCUGGAGACUGGAGGGAGGAGUCACCAGGUCAUACUAACUAGGCUCAUUCAUGACACACCUCACAGUUCAGCUGUCAGAGAUUUCAGCACUAAAUGUAUCAGGGCAUUGCAUGCAUAGACCUAUAGCCUUAGGUGUCCACUGGAUGAUCUUAAUAUUUUACCUUCUAUUUAUUUAUAUAUAUAUAUUUAUUUUGUGUGUGCAAAUGAACUCAAGCUUACAGACAAUGUCAAAUGUGAUAUAGCGAGGCACCUGAGUGAGCUGGGUGCGCAAUUACGCAGGUACUUUCCCAAAAUGGACGACACAAAUAAUUGGAUUCGUUAUCCCUUUCGUCCCCUCCAGUCUACUGACUGAUAUCUGAACGAAGGAGCCUCAUCGAAAUUGCAACAAGCGGUUCUGUGAAAAUUUAAUUUAAUCAGAAGCUACUACCAGAUUUCUGGAUAGGGCUGCCCUCAGAGUAUCCUGCCUUGGCAAAUCACGCUGUCAAGACACUGAUGCCCUUUGCAACCACGUACCUAUGUGAGAGUGGAUUCUUGGCCCUCACUAGCAUGAAAAAACGAAAUACAGGCACAGUCUGUGUGUGAAAAAUGAUUUAAGACUGAGACUCUCUCCAAUACAACCCAACAUUGCAGAGUCAUGAGCAUCCUUUGAAGCACACCCUUCUCAUUAACCUGUGGUGAGUUAUACACAAUUUUUGAUGAACAAAUAAUGUUUUAUAUGUAAGAUGGUUAAAUAAAGAGCUAAAUGAUUGAUUAUUAUUAUGCUAUUAUUUGUGCCCUGGUCCUAUAAGAGUUCUUUGUCACUUCCCACGAGCCGGGUUGUGACGACAACUCACACUCAUUCUUAUGUUUAAUAAAUGUAUCGU
rnacentral:lncRNA from 1 species